rnacentral:lncRNA from 1 species
AAAUAAAUUGUGGGCCCCCUCUUACGAAUGUGUCUGUCAACUCCGGUGUAGGACACCGAUGUAUAUGUAGACAAAUUCUUCUUGCUUUGUGUUUUGCUUUUGGAUCUCUAUUUCCAGUCGACUCCGACAUACACUUUGGGGAGGAGGAGACAAUGAAGACAAAGGUCCCAAUUGUUACAAAUAAAAGCAUGUCUUUGUUUACUGGUUUCCCAAUUGAAAACUUGUUGGCUGUGGCCAGCUCCACUUCUCCGAAGAGGCUCUUGAUUUCUCAUCCUCCACUCAAAGCACUCCUCGUUAAUCUAUUCGCUUUUGUCUGAAAAAAUUUUCAUCUGUCGUUUGGGUGAUGCUGUUGUUAAUUUCGGUAUAGAUGCUGUACAGAGAGGCCUUUUAUUCAAAGACGAAAUAUAGACAUCUUUUCCCCUUUUUAUUUAUUUUUUAAUUAUUUUCUUUUACAUCAAAUCGAAGAUUUAUUAGAUGGCGCAUUUUUAAAUUCUUUGUAUCUAGCUUUUCUGGAAGCUGUGCUUCUUUUAUUUCCAGUAAUACAACUGCACCUACCAGGUAUUUACGGGCUUAAUCAGCAUAAAUAAAGUUCUUUGUGUGUAGCAAAGUAUCUCACCUUGCAAAUUUGGUUCAACAGCAUAUUGUUUGAAGCAAUUUCCCAAUUUCUUAUGGACAAGGAUCGAGUGGAUUGUGUAUUUACUAUUUGACUUAGGUUUCUCGUUUUCACUUCAUGAAAAUGAUAUUUGGUUAUCCAGAUAUCAGCUUCUUUUGGCCCUUUACCACAAUUCUUUCCCCUUGUAACAAGUUUUCAUUAAGUCCUAUAUUAUUUAACUGCAAUAUUUCUCUAUUAUUUACCAGGAUUCCUUAUUCUAGGAGUUCGGUGACAGAAGAUGGAAAAUCCGAAUGUGCUAUUGUCGAUAGGGAUGAAACUUGAUCAAAGGAGGUUUGUAUAAGAGGAAUUGGUCCCACUGCUCCAAAAUUCAAAAUUUUGAAGCCAUUCGGUGUUUUCCUUAGCUUUGAUGGGAUUGAUGUUGCCAAUGAUGGAACAGGUGAAUGAGACAAAUGUUCUUAUGGCUUGUAGACAGAUAGAUAAAAUAACCCUUCUACACGUACAGAAGAAUGUUUGCCAAAAACUACGUACAGAAAACUCACAGUUCUAGGACCCACACACAUUUUUGACAUUUUUUAUACGACAUGGGGCCCACGCACUUAUCUCUAUUUUGUACACCGUCUGUGAAAAAUUUUUUGUACACCCAGAUUUUUUCUAGAUAAAAUUCUCACAUCCUAUCUCAUUGCCUCUCUCCUCUUCUUCUAUACAUACAAGUGUAAAUAUUUUCUGCUAUUUUAAACUUCAACUCCAGUUAAAAUGAAAAUAAAUUGUCGUAUCUCAUAAAUAGGAAAUUUAGUUUCUGCAAAUAGCACAAAUGCAAAAUACCAAGGAAAGAAGCCUUACAAUCAUGAUGAAAGAUAGUAUAGGAAUUUUCAUCAAGAGACUUAAGCAUAUCAGUAGAGACAUAGCAUAAUGAGUGCUAUUUAUUCUCUUCAUAAUUUUUCUAUGGUUUUGAUUUUUUAUUUGUGAUUUGAUGAUCAUAAUACUAUAGAUAUGAG